rnacentral:lncRNA from 1 species
GCCGACCCCAUUCAUUUAUUAAUGCGCAAGCGGAACGUAUUAUAAAACCCCUGACAAUAAAAUACGGGAUAGAAAAGCAGGAAACAAUUUCACAACCAAUCACUUACACAAACCAACAGAGUCACAGACGAAGGCCUACAGCCAAAAGUCUACAAAAGACCAACUCUUAAAAAUGAACUGUCUUACGACCUACAAGUCGGACACGUUCUCCGAUCUUAUGACUUCACAUUUGCAACUCCUCAAGGCCAACCAAAGCUAUCUGGCUGCUCCGUCCAUCAGGGACCUGAAAUUUUAAUCCCACAACCGGGAUGAGACGAUGUCUCAGCAAGUUCAACCCCCUAAACCCCUAUUAGAAAGAAAAUACGCCCAAGGAUGGCCUAGCCACGUCACACAGAGAACUUACCUCGCCUCAAUUCCUUACUGCAGGUUAGCACAAUUCGUAUUACACAAUCUCAGGUAGUAAUAAUAAUUCAAACAAUUGGAACGUCAUCACUUUCAUAUAAAUCACAGUCGCACUUAGCACACAUUCCAAUUAUUAUUCACUGCCACACAAGGGCAUAGCCUACUCGUAGUUCGGCUAUCUACUGACACUAAUGCCAGGCAUCGCCUCCCCCCCAUGGAGCGCGGCUUCGUCAUUACGUCGACGGCAUUCCCGAAGGAGUAUGGGUCCAGUCGGCCUAGCCACUACUGCGACCCGAGCCACGUCACUCUCCUGACGGCAUUUCUAUAAGAACAAAGGUCCAGUCGGCCUAGCCACUACUGCGACCCGAGCCACAUCACUCUCCUGACGGCAUUUCUAUGAGAACAAAGGUCCAGUCGGCCCAGCCACUACUGCGACCCGAGCCACGUCACUCCCUUGAUGGCAUUUCUAGUAGAAUAAGGAUCCAGUCGGCCUAGCCACUACUGCGACCCGAGUCUUUCAACCAGCACACAACAAUUCGAUAAUUAAUUGCACAAAUCAUCACUCAAUUUGAAAUAUCUAAUCAUCAAAUUCAUAAUCUGAAUACACAGCAGCGAUCAGCACGAAAUUCUAGGGAAAUAAGGUUCCCAAAUAAUUUUCAGAAAUUAUUAAAUAAUUAAAUUUAUUCCGAAAAUUAAUUAAAUAAUAAUAUUCAUAUAUUUCACGAUCCACGCUCAAUUUAUAAUAUCCAACCAUCAAUUUCGAAAUCCGAAUGCACAGCAGCGAUCGGCACGAAAUUCUAAGCAAUCGGGGUCAAAAAUAAUUUUUCCAUUUUUCCAAUUUUUUUUUAUAAAUAAUAAUAUUUUAAUAAUUUCGGAAUAUAAUGUAACAUUAUAAAUUCCAGAAUUCGAAAUCAUUAAAUAAUUCAAAAAUAAAACCCUAUUAUGACACAUCAAGGCUUUAUAUUAAAAACAAACAUACUUAACCUUAAACUAAACGCACUUUAACUUAAUUAAACACUCUAAUCUAAUCAUCAACCAAAUAAACUAAUCUAAUCACCUAAACUUACUUGAAUUAGACUAAGCACACUUAGGCCAUCAUUAACCCUCUAAGCAAGAUUUAGUGAGUUAAACUCACCGGAUUAGCGAGCCGAGCGAACCAAAACGACGGGGACGCCGAGGAAAACAACUUUCCUCAAAGCGGGCCAAGCAUCCGGGCUCGGGAAGGCGGCCAAAACGGGCCAAACCUGGGCUGCCAUACCCAUUUUCUGGGUUGCUGAUCGGGGCUGAGAGGGAGCAGAUCCGGCGCCGGUUGAGGUGAAUAAUGGCCGAGAUGGGCUGAGGGACCUCCGACGGGCUGAGGCGAAGGUGUACGGCGGUUCAUGGCGGCGGAGACGAGCUCCGGCAGCUCCUGGAAUGAGCGAACAGGGGCAGACGGAGGAGGCUGGGCGUCGGCUAGGUGCGGGCGAACGAGGAGCAGCGGCUGAGCGGGGCGGCGGACGGCGCGCGAGCGGCGGACGGCGGUUCGGCUGGGCUGCAGCUAGCCUCGCGUGCUCAAAUUUGUUGGGUGCGUUCGAACCUAGAGAAGAAGAAGAUGAACUUGAUGCCAGCAGGGGGGAAAGAGGCGAAGGUCCGAGCGGUGAGGCGCGGCUGCGACGGCGAGCGGCGAAGCAGCGACGGCGGCGUUGCGGCGACGCACGGAGGCUACGACGGCUUCGGCGGAUCUCCUGCAGCUGCUGAGGUCUUCUUCCGGUUGCUGGGUUCGAAGAAGCAAGGAGAAGAAGAUGGAGGAGAGAGG